rnacentral:rRNA from 1 species
AUUAGCUAGUUGGUGAGGUAAUGGCCCACCAAGGCUACGAUCCAUAGCUGGUCUGAGAGGAUGAUCAGCCACACUGGGACUGAGACACGGCCCAGACUCCUACGGGAGGCAGCAGUAGGGAAUCUUGGACAAUGGGCGAAAGCCUGAUCCAGCCAUGCCGCGUGAGUGAAGAAGGCCUUAGGGUUGUAAAGCUCUUUUGGCGGGGACGAUAAUGACGGUACCCGCAGAAUAAGCCCCGGCUAACUUCGUGCCAGCAGCCGCGGUAAUACGAAGGGGGCUAGCGUUGUUCGGAAUUACUGGGCGUAAAGCGCUCGCAGGCGGAUUGAUAAGUCGGGGGUGAAAUCCCGGGGCUUAACCUCGGAAUUGCCUUCGAUACUGUCUGUCUUGAGUCCGGGAGAGGUGAGUGGAAUUCCUAGUGUAGAGGUGAAAUUCGUAGAUAUUAGGAAGAACACCAGUGGCGAAGGCGGCUCACUGGCCCGGUACUGACGCUCAUGAGCGAAAGCGUGGGAAGCAAACAGGAUUAGAUACCCUGGUAGUCCACGCCGU